GCUACUUUUGUAGUACAUACCUAGUCUUUCCACUUGACUCUGCUGAUUCCUUAAUUGGUCUUCACCUCUCUCUCUCUCUCUCUGUCAACAACUUUGCAGGUUGAUUUACUGUUUACCAAGUCAGUCCGUCACACAAAUAUGACAUUCUUGUCAAAUUUUUAUCUUUCACAAACAUAGGUCGAUUUGUCUUGUAAUAUUUUCCAAGUUGUUGGGAUGAAGUUGUCCGACUGAGAAAGAGAGGGAGAGUUUCAUGGCUCUGCUGAUCUUGACUUGGUCCUGAUGGAGUAUAGAAAUCACAAACAACUAUUUGUAAAGUUUUCACAGGAAUAUUCCUGCAUGUUUGGUGCUAAUUACACAUCCAAUACUCAAUCAGCAACAAACAAAGCUCCUCACUCUCUUUCUGCUCCACAUUUUAAAACAAUAAAACAUUCAAUCCUAUUGCAUAACAAAUCCAAAACAAGAGAGAUAGAAUCAUGUUUAUUUUACAAGAAAAAUGCUGCCUCUAUAUGCAAGAUUCAUCAGUUUAUGGGCAGGGAAUGAUCAACCACAACCAUGGAAAAGAAUAAUGAGAAACAUGCCGUUAUGAAGGUAACCAAAGAAGAAGACAUGAGAAAAGUUUUAUUCAGUGCAACAGAAUCACCAACUGAAAGCAGCAGACCAAAACAGCAGGGUUUUUAAGAAGCUCAUAUAGUUGCUGAAGCCAUAUCAAUGCUCCACGGCAUGGACCUUAGGUGGUUGCCAAGUACCAGAGUACUCCAACACCCUCGUGGAAUGAGGAUAGAAAACUGAUCUGUAUGAUCUCUGUAUCACCAGGAGGAUUUUCCAGCAGCCUCCCUGAUCUUGAGAAUACACAGCUGGAGUCAUCAAGACUUCUCAGGCCUCAGCAUCCUCACCAAAAAGUCCUCUUUUGUUGGGAGCUUUGUCUCCAUUCCUGAAAUUCAAGCUAGAAACAAGGUUUUGAAACACUGUGGAUUACUAGAUGAGGAAUAUCCUGUCCUCUUCACUCAGAACUAUAAGGAUGCGAUGAUGUAGGUUGGAGAAAGCUACCACUUUUUCAAGGAAUCAAGAGUGAUUGUGGCACCAGAAUCUUGGUUGGAUUUGAGGAUCAAGGGUUCACAGAACUCAUGGCUUGUUUUCCUACCUGGUCGAAGUAAAUGGAACGCGAUACUCCAUGCAUUGGAUUUCAGAAGCUCAUCAGAACUCAUGGCGUGUUCUGCUUGAUGCUACAGCAUUGGUUAUGGGUGAAGAUCAGCUGCAUCUUGCACUCUAUAGGCCAGAUUUUGUGCUAUGCACAUGCUCAUUCUUCAAAGCUUACCUGCCUCUUGGUAAGAACAAAAUCCUUCGACAUGUCGGCCUCUUUUGCAGCAGCAAAUGAGUGAAGUUAUUUGUAUAAAUAUGUAAGAACAUUUAAGUUUUAGCUAUCACGUAAAAGAACAUUUCAUUUCAUGAUGAAAAUAAUUCUCCUGACUAGCUUGCUCAAAGCAACUUUUUUUUGAGGUAACUCAAACCAACCAGCAGAAUGUUGACAGCAUUCUUUUAUAGCUGAAGAAAUUUCCUCUCAAGAUCUUAAUUUACCUAU